rnacentral:lncRNA from 1 species
GUACCGAUAACACCCAAAACAUCAGCAAAAAUGAAUAUCAAACCACCGGAUGGCAGUCAAACAAUCGAUUUGACCACCAGAAACCCUAGAGGUUGAAAACUCACCGAAAAAUCUCCGAAAAUCUCGCAACAAUCGAUUGAACCAUUCAAGAGAGGAAGAACAGUCACUGAUCGUGAAGAUAAAGGCUCGGAAGAACCCUAAUGGGAGUCAAAACCAUCACCGACCUUUCGAUCUCAGAAAACCCCAAAAAUCUCAUCAGAGAAUGGUUCAACAGAAACCCUAGAGGUUGAAAACUCACCGAAAAAUCUCCGAAAAUCUCACAACAAUCGAUUGAACCAUUCAAGAGACGAAGAACAGUCACUGAUCGUGAAGAUAAAGGCUCGGAAGAACCCUAAUGGGAGUCAAAGCCAUCACCGACCUUUCGAUCUCAGAAAACCCCAAAAAUCUCAUCAGAGAACGGUUCAAAUAAACUACUGAUUCACACAAAAGUAUCAUCGGAUCAUUAUAGAGGCUCUGAUAUCAUGAAAACAUGCAAAAGAUCGAAGAAUUUU